AACGAACGCUGGCGGCAGGCCUAACACAUGCAAGUCGAACGCUCGUAGCAAUACAUCAGUGGCAGACGGGUGAGUAACACGUGGGAACCUUCCUAGGGGUACGGAACAACUCAGGGAAACUUGAGCGUAAUACCGUAUACGUCCGUAAGGAGAAAGAUUCAUCGCCCCUAGACGGGCCCGCGUCGGAUUAGGUAGUUGGUGGGGUAACGGCCUACCAAGCCUACGAUCCGUAGCUGAUCUGAGAGGAUGAUCAGCCACA
rnacentral:rRNA from 1 species